rnacentral:rRNA from 1 species
UACGUAGGGUGCAGGCGUUAAUCGGAAUUACUGGGCGUAAAGCGUGCGCAGGCGGUUUGCUAAGACAGGUGGGAAAUCCCCGGGCUUAACCUGGGAACUGCGCUUGUAACUGGCAAGCUAGAGUGUGGCAGAGGGGGGUGGAAUUCCACGUGUAGCAGUGAAAUGCGUAGAGAUGUGGAGGAACACCGAUGGCGAAGGCAGCCCCCUGGGCUAACACUGACGCUCAUGCACGAAAGCGUGGGGAGCAAACAGG